rnacentral:rRNA from 1 species
ACGAACGCUGGCGGCGUGCUUAACACCUGCAAGUCGAACGGUGAAGCGCCUUCCUUUUUGGUGGGUGUGGAUGAGUGGCGAACGGGCGAGUAACACGUGAGUAACCUGCCCCCUUCUUCUGGAUAACCGCAUGAAAGUGUGGCUAAUACGGGAUAUUCUGGGUCUGUCGCAUGAUGGGUCUGGGAAAGAUAUUGUUUCGGUGGGGGAUGGGCUCGCGGCCUAUCAGCUUGUUGGUGGGGUGAUGGCCUACCAAGGCGGUGACGGGUAGCCGGCCUGAGAGGGUGGACGGUCACACUGGGACUGAGACACGGCCCAGACUCCUACGGGAGGCAGCAGUGGGGAAUAUUGCACAAUGGGCGCAAGCCUGAUGCAGCGACGCCGCGUGAGGGAUGGAGGCCUUCGGGUUGUGAACCUCUUUCGCCAGUGAAGCAGGCCUGCCUCGUUUGUGGGUGGGUUGACGGUAGCUGGAGAAGAAGCGCCGGCUAACUACGUG